GAGUUGAAGGGCAACCUACUUCUGGGGAU
rnacentral:piRNA from 1 species